UCUCCCUUCCCCUCCUCCUGCUCCCCUCACCAUUCUCCUUUUUCUUUCAUUUAUUUCCUACACUGCCUCCAUUCAUCCCCUCUGUACUUUCCCCUUCCUUCCCUCUACUUUGUCAUUCUGAUCUGUACUUUUCCUCAGGCGGGUAAAAAGGCAGGUCCUGGUGCAGGGAGAGGGCUUGUGUAAUCUCUGGCUGCACACGAGCACUGAAGAGUUAUUGCUUCAGCUGGAGAGGCAGCAUAGCAGUGGAGCCACUAACGCUUAAAGGACAAACUUUGGAAUAAGCGGAGGAAGAAGAAGGGACACCUCUGUGGCAGAAAGAGAGGAGAGGCAGGAAGGAGUUUGGAGUUUAGGUGCAGGGCAGAGACCAUGCCGGGCUCUGUGGUGCUGCUGCUGUCCCUGUUGGUCCUGUCCACAGGAAGUGAUGCCAGAAGAAUCAGGAAAAGAGGACUCAACCACAAGGACUAUGAGUACCAGAACCACCCCCAGUCCACACAGCAUCAGAAGAAUGACCGGUGCCCACCACCACCACAGAUGCUGCCAGAGAGAGCGUGUGAGGUGCCGGGCUGCCGCUCGGACUCUGAGUGUGAACGCCACAAACGGUGCUGCUACAACGGCUGCAUCUACGCCUGCCUGGAGUCUGUCCAGCCACCACCAGUGUUGGACUGGCUGGUGCAGCCUAAGCCUCGUUGGUUGGGGGGCAAUGGCUGGCUGUUGGAUGGACCUGAAGAGGUCCUGCAGGCUGAGGCCUGCAGCACCACAGAGGAUGGAGAUGAGCCUCUCCACUGUCCCACAGGAUACGAGUGCCACAUCUUUAACCUAGGAAACCCAGCUGCUGGCAUCCCUAACAGAGGACAGUGCAUCAAGCAACGCGGCAACUCUGAUGGACGUGGUCUGAGGCACAAAUACUUCAAGGACUACAAGGAUUACUUGGGUAAGUGAGGUACCGGUUCUAACAACGCAGUCGGCUAUGAAAAACAUCAUCACAAGCAUCUGCAGGGAUAAAAUCAACCCUGACCUCAGCCUGACCAUAUCACAACCUCAGACAUCAGCACACUUCUCAAUCUGCUCUCAUCACAGAUCCAGGAUCAAUUCUGACCUUUUUUUACUCCUACAUUGGCUACCUCCUCUUUUUAAGGCCUGUCUCACAGUCGGUGCUAACGCUAAACCCUUUAAAGGACAAUCUAACAAACCUACAGAAAAUCAACCAAAGAUCUGAGUGCUUCUUUCUGCUUCUCUGUCUGUUGUUGUGGAGCGAUGAAGCAGAGGAUGAUGAUGGUGAAGCAGAGGAGAGGUGAACAGGGUUUGCACCAAAGCUGUCCUCUGAAUGUCUCAGAAGGAAAUGAAGCAAAACCCAAGCCUUUUUAUUAAUGUCAUGUCAUUGCUUUACAGCCCUCUUCCUCCUUUCAGUGCAUUCUUACUCUCUCACAAACUCGCUCUGCGUUUCUACGGCCAGUCAGCAGAGAAAAUCAGAACCAUGUGGCCUCUUACUCAUUCUGUCUCUCUCUGAAGGAAAGUGUUCAAAUUUCCUGAUGUGAAAUCUGGAAGGUUCCAUAGGAAAAUAGGUCAAAUUCCAGCUGAAUUGUUCUAUAUCUUUAAAUUAAAUCCAAGUGUGGUUUUACAGUCUAACAAUAGAUGUUUAUCUUAACACCCUGGCUUAAAGAAAUGGCUUCCAUGUUGGUGUUCUGAUUGGUUUUCAAUAAUUGGAUCAGCAAAUUAAUGCCACUUAAUUCUCCUGUGACAAACUUUUUUAACUUUUUCAUUUGGCACCCCCAUGUGGCCAAAUGUCUCUGAACUGACCUUAUCCUCUACAAGUGUAUUAUGACAAAAAAGUUAUCGUUUUCUUUAACGAAACAAAAUGUAUAAUUUCUGCACUUAUAGGACUUAAAAAGUGACCAUUUCUAUAUAAUGCGGCUUAUUUUUAAACUGAGAUCUUACAGACUCAAAAAAAGAUGUUUCACCACUACAGCAAGAAUUGAAACUUUGCAAUUGCAAAGUUUUUUGUUUCCAAUGUAGAAACUCCAUUGGAUGAUAACAGUUUGCCUAUAGGUUCUUUGUAGCAGCAGAGAACUCCUGAUGGGGGGCAGGAAGGGAUCCCUGCAUGGAGAAACACUACCAAAAAAGCCAUGGUUUGAGAAGUUCAUGACUUUGCCAAACAUUCAAAUUGCAAAAAAUAAAAACAUCACUUAUUCUUUAGCUACUUUUGUGUCCCAAAAGUAGUGAAAGAUUCAAGCAAAUUUAAAAAAACAACCUUGUCAAAAUUCCCAGUAAAACGGCAGCAGACAGGAAUGAUAUAAACCUCCAUCUAAAGCCUAGAUGAGCGAACACUAAUGUGUGGUCCAGUUCCACAAAGUGGUUUGAUUAAGUGCAGUUUGCCACAGCUCAGCACAUUGUACUGAUCUUGCCUGUGUUUCCUCAGCUGAUGUCUGUCCAGUGUCACUUGUUAUGACGGUAAAUCCGUCUCUUUCCAGAGAUCCAGAUCAUUUGGCUCAGCUCAGUAGAGCUGCUUGUUUGGCUCCCAAACAACUUUUCAUUUCGUAACAGUUUGACUUUUUAAAUUCAGAUUAAAUAACAACUAUACAUGGAGGAAAGGAAACUGGCAAUCAAAUGGGAGCUAGCUACUGUUGCUAACAUAAAAGAGCCGUUUCAUAGAGCCAGCUCAUUCAUGAACAGUACAUCAUCACUGGUAUCCAGUUGAUAGCACAUCCCUGUUUCAAUUAAAAGCAUGUUUGUGACUAAUGAGGAUUUUGUGUAUAUCCAAGGGGUUCAGCUAGCCUCUUAGCUCAAUACAAGACUCCCCUUGACUCUUAUCUCUCUUUAUCGGACUGGACAAUGCUAGAAGGUCUGCAGAACUGAAUAGUUAGUGAUAUUUAUCGCUGCCAACUGUGGGAAUAAAAUCUUUUUUUUCUUUGUAGAGGGUAGGGAUCAUUAUCAAUGUAUGUAAAAAAACCUUACAGUUGCAUCAUCCAGAUUCAUUUAGAGCUGUUAAGUACUAACUUUCCUCUUAUCCCAGCUAUCCUUGGCUACCCCCCACUUCCUUCUGUUUUGUCUGGUAUUACUUUCAUUCUGCUUCAUAAACAGUUAAAAACUUCUCACAGGAGCUUUAAGUAGGAUAAAAUUAAAUAGUAACUCAGGAAGCUUAACUGAGACACAGUCAAGGAUUUUGAUCUCAUCUGGGAUGAGGAAAACCUUGAAAACCCUUAAAAACAGCUAGGCCUACAUGUUUGAUACUGAACACAUUGAGUUGGGUGAAAAUUCCUCUAAGUUAACAGAUUAACAAUUACUAAUUAGUUAUUUUUCUAUGUUUUAAUGAUGUAACUACAAGCAGUGUCUAUACACUGUGGUAAUUGACUGAUGUGAGUUUAAAUAAUCACUGCUUUACUUCUUAAACAUUUAAAUGUUUCUGCACAAAGCAGACCUUUAAAUCUGGUCAGAGACCUCCUGUGUUGUUCUCCAGCUUCUUUACUUUAGUCGACUGUUCAUCAUGUUCUCAGUUCAAAUGGUGCUACAUUUCAUCACUGCAGAAUAAUAAGCUGGUCACUUAAUAAGCUGAUGGUGAAAAACUAAAGCUGUUCUACCAUUCACUGUGUGCACAGAUCAAGUGAUGUCUGAAUGUUGCC